AGUUAAAAAGCUCGUAGUUGGAUUUCUGUGGUGGGUAGUCGGCCGGCUCUUCGGAGUUGUAGCUAGAUUUACUUGCCGCAUCUUGUCGUAAUUCUCGCUGGUCUUAAUUGAUUGGUGCAGAGGACCGACUCGUUUACUUUGAGAAAAUUAGAGUGUUCAAAGCGGGCUAUCGCCUUGAAUAUGUUAGCAUGGAAUAAUGAUAUAGGACUUUGGUUCUAUUUUGUUGGUUGUUCGAGGACCGAAGUAAUGAUUGAUAGGGACAGUUGGGGGUAUCAGUAUUCUGAAGCGAGAGGUGAAAUUCUUGGACCUUCGGAAGACUAACAACUGCGAAAGCAUUUACCUAGGAUGUUCUCUUUAAUCAAGAACGAAAGUUGGGGGAUCGAAGACGAUCAGAUACCGUCGUAGUCUCAACUAUAAACUAUGCCAGCUAGGGAUGAGUGGAUGUUUAAUUACGACUCCAUUCGCACCUUAUGAGAAAUCAAAGCAUUUGGGUUCCGGGGGGAGUAUGGUCGCAAGGCUGAAACUUAAAGGAAUUGACGGGAGGGCACCACCAGGAGUGGAGCCUGUGGCUUAAUUUGACUCAACACGGGAAAACUUAUCAGGGCCAGACAUAGCUAGGAUUGACAGAUUGAUAGCUCUUUCUUGAUUCUAUGGGUGGUGGUGCAUGG
rnacentral:rRNA from 1 species